CCUGGUUUAUGAAACACAAUAUUAGUAGAACUAGACUCUCGUCAGGUCGUAAAAAAUGUUUCGUACUAUUGCAUGUUCGCGUGACUGUUUUCAAAAACUAAUAAAAACCCGAUCAAACGGUAAUUAUAAUUAUAUUUACAGUGAUCGGGUCUCGCAACGGAUUUAUAGUCGCGCCGUUAAGCUUUCGAGUCGAGUCGCUGAAAUGACUGAGUUCGGGGAAAACGGGAAAAUA